AAAGCUGGCGUGACUGAAGAUCUGCGGAGGAACGGGCGGUUUGAGAAAUUAACUUGUAGCACAAAUAAUGCAGCAGAGAUGAGAGAACAUUUCCGUGGUGUAAAUGCCCAACGUUCACAGAGCAGUGAGAAUACACACAUUAACUCCUAUUGGCAUUGACAGGUGGUGAGGGACUCGAGUCGGAGAGGAGAAACGAGUGGGAAGGAGACUGAGUGUGAAACGGGGAAGACAAGAUGGGGAGAGAAUAUGGAUAGAGAGGACGAGACCGCAAAGAGAAGAGAGAAACAGAAAGGAGACUUCAGUGCGUAUAGUCAUGUUUGUCUGUUUUACAUUUUUUGGUGAAGGGAAGAAAGGAAGGAAGUGGAGCGAUGGAUGGAUGGAUUGCUCAGAGAAAUAAAAAAAAAUUGGUGAGAAAGAAGAAGAAAGGAAUGAAGAAAGAAAGUGGACGAUGGGUGGAUUGCUCAAAGAGAGAAAUAGUGGUGAAAGAAAGGAGAGGAAGAAAGAAAGACAAAAAGAAAGGAAGAAAGAAAUGGAUGAUGGACGGACGGAUGGAUUGCUCAAAGAGAGAAAUAGUGGUGAAAGAAAGGAGAGGAAGAAAGAAAGACAAAAAGAAAGGAGAAAGAAAAUGGAUGAUGGAUGGAUUGCUCAAAGAGAGAAAUAGUGGUGAAAGAAAGGAGAGGAAGAAAGACAAAAAGAAAGGAAGAAAAAGUGGAUUAUGGAUGGAUGGAUGGAUGGAUUGCUCAAAGAGAGAAAUAGUGGUGAAAGAAAGGAGAGAAAGAAAGAAAGACAAAAAGGAAGGAAGGAAGAAAUGGAUGGAUGGAUGGAUUGCUCAAAGAGAGAGAUAGUGGUGAAAGAAAGGAGAGGAAGAAAGAAAGACAAAAAGGAAGGAAGGAAGAAAGAAAGUGGAUGAUGGACAGAUGGAUGGAUUGCUCAAAGAGAGAAAUAGUGGUGAAAGAAAGGAGAGGAAGAAAGACAAAAGGAAGGAAGGAAGAAAGAAAGUGGAU
ensembl:lncRNA